CCUACGGGAGGCAGCAGUCGGGAAUAUUGCGCAAUGGACGAAACUCUGACGCAGCAACGCCGCGUAUAGGAAGAAGUUUUUCGGAUUGUAAACUACUUUCCUUAGGGAAGAGAAAGGUCAGUGUCCAUGGAGAAUGCGCCAGGGAACAACGCGUCAGCAGCCGCGGUAAUACGUAGGGAUCGAGCGUUAUCCGGAAUUAUAGGGUGUAAAGGGUGCGUGGACGGGAAAACAAGAUAGUUGUGAAAUCCCUCGGCUUAACUGAGGACCUGCAACUAAAAAUAUUUUUCUUGAGUGCAGGAGAGGUAAGUGGAAUUCCUAGUGUAGCGGUGAAAUGCGUAGAUAUUAGGAGGAACACCAGUGGCGAAGGCGAUUUACUGGACUGUAACUGACGUUGAGGCACGAAAGUGUGGGGAGCAAACAGGAUUAGAUACCCGGGUAGUC
rnacentral:rRNA from 1 species